UACGUAGGGGCUAGCGUUAUCCGGAAUUACUGGGCGUAAGGGGUGCGUAGGUGGUUUCUUAAGUCAGAGGUGAAAGGCUACGGCUCAACCGUAGUAAGCCUUUGAAACUGGGAAACUUGAGUGCAGGAGAGGAGAGUGGAAUUCCUAGUGUAGCGGUGAAAUGCGUAGAUAUUAGGAGGAACACCAGUUGCGAAGGCGGCUCUCUGGACUGUAACUGACACUGAGGCACGAAAGCGUGGGGAGCAAACAGGAUUAGAUACCCCGGUAGUCCCUGAGCGGG
rnacentral:rRNA from 1 species